UACCUCCCACCUCACAUGUACUUUGAAUGUGACUUUGACACUCCUCUAAUUAAGAAAUAGGUUUCUGUGUCCUACCCUUGAAUCUACAGGGGGCUAUGACUAUGGCAGAAGUGAUGCCAAGACUAUGUCAUAAAAAGAGAGAGAGCAUCUGCCUGGCUUUCCUGGGACACUCACUCUUGGAGCCCAGCUAGCAUGCCAUGAGAGGUCCACGUGGAAAGGAUCUCAGGCCCUCUGCCCAGUCCCAGACGAGCUCAUGGGUGACAGACCGCGCCAUUUUCCCAGCCACGAACACUUGUAAUUGUGUUUAGGGACCAUGCAGAUAAUCCAAGAUAACCUCCCAGUCUCAAGACUCUUAAUCACAUUUGCAAAGACCUCUUUUCCAAAUAAGAUUGUAGUCUUCCUCAUUGCAAGCAGACAAGAAGGUCUAACUUUUCAGUUUCCAGAAGAGGAACGUGAGGGUCAGAGCACAAAGCCCGAGCUGCUGGAGGCACCCCUGGAGACCUCUUUCCUCCAGCCCUGAGAUGGGGUGGGACAAAGUGAACACAUCACAGAAACUGUCUCAGAA